AGAAGAUCCAGUCAAGUUGUUACAAAAUAUCAAGAUGGCAUCUUUCUAGAUGAUUCCUCUUCAAAAAGUCUGAAGAUCUCGGCUAAGACUAUGGGUUUGUCUACGGUGGCAAGAAGAGCAGUAUGGUUAAGAAACUGGUUGGCUGAUUCAGCAUCCAAAAAUUCUUUGUAACCUUCUAUUUGAACCAGGCAGACAUUUUGGUUCUAAACUAGAUGAUCUUUUGAAACUAAGCAUGGUAAGAAGGCUUUACCUGAAGAAAACAGGAAGCAGAAUUGGAACAAAACAUUUUUUUAGAGUUCAAUCCGCUUAUAGAGGCUCCUUUUGUAUAAACGCUUUACAGGGGUCAAUAAAGGAAGGUGUGUGUUUACAGGAGAAGAGAAGUUAUCUGACAAAAGGAAUAGAAAC